rnacentral:hammerhead_ribozyme from 1 species
AUCCAUCUGACGAGUCCAAAAUACGACGAAACGCGCGUCCUGGAU